AUUGAACGCUGGCGGCAGGCUUAACACAUGCAAGUCGAACGAGUGGCGGACUGGUGAGUACUGCUUGGGCAUCUGGCUUAUGGAGGGGGAUAACGACGGGAAACUGUCGCUAAUACCGCGUACCACAGGAUGAGCCCCAGUGGGAUUAGGUAGUUGGUGGGGUAAUGGCCUACCAAUCCGACGAUCUCUAGCUGGUCUGAGAGGAUGACCAGCCACACCGGGACGGAGACACGGCCCUGACGCCUAAGGGAGGCAGCAGUGGGGAAUAUUGCGCAAUGGGGGCAACCUGACGCAGCCAUGCCGCGUGAAUGAAGAAGGCGUUCGGGUUGUAAAGUUCUUUCGGUGACGAGGCGUUAAUCACAGAAGAAGCACCGGCUAACGCCGGGCCAGCAGCCGCGGUAAUAC
rnacentral:rRNA from 1 species